AACGAACGCUGGCGGCAGGCCUAACACAUGCAAGUCGAACGCUUACUUAGGUAAGAGUGGCAGACGGGUGAGUAACACGUGGGAAUCUACCUAUCUCUACGGAACAACACAUAGAAAUGUGUGCUAAUACCGUAUACGCCCUUCGGGGGAAAGAUUUAUCGGAGAUAGAUGAGCCCGCGUUUGAUUAGCUAGUUGGUGAGGUAAUGGCUCACCAAGGCGACGAUCAAUAGCUGGUCUGAUAGGAUGAUCAGCCACACUGGGACUGAGACACGGCCCAG
rnacentral:rRNA from 1 species